ACAGGACUCCUUAUCCCAGGAAGCUCUGGCACCACAGCAGUCCACUGAACUCACUUCUGCACCAGACCUGCUUCCAGAGCCCAGAGCAGAGCGCCAACUAAAGAAGGUGAUGGUUUCGAGUCAAGAAUGCUGUUUGAGCGAAGACAACAAAACAUAGAGAAUGCAUGAACAAAGAGGAAGCAGGGGCGAGGAGACAAAGGCUCAGACACUGGCAGUGACUGACGGGCCUUCACCUUUCACCCUUGACCCUGGGGAGGAGCGAACUGAGACAGCAGCCGGCUGUAAUGAGGAGUCUGGUGCAUUGCUAAUAAACCUGAUGUGUGUGUGA